rnacentral:other from 2 species
UAGUGACUGCCUUGUCACGUUUGUACAGUUUUAUUAAUCCAACACUUAUGAAUUGGGAGUCUAGGCUCUUCUUGUGGAUUGCAGACCUCCCGCUUUGGCGGAAGAAGGGAGCGCGAAACAAGAAGGAGGACACCCACCUGUUGCUAUGGCACGGGUUUUUCAUCCUGUACGACGGCAAGGUGGUUAUUUU